AUGGCCUCGACCUGCUUCCGCGCCGCCGCCCGCGCCGCCACCGCGGCAUGCCGCUCGGCGGCCUCCCGCUCCAUGCCCUCCGUCGGCCGCUCCGCCGCCCGCCGCGCCCCGCUAAUCUCCAGGGUGCCGCUGGAGCUGGGGUGCUGCGCGGGAAUGUCGCUGCUGCCGCUGCACAGCGCGGUGGCCGCGGCGAGGCUGACUUCGCGGCUGAGCACGGCGUCCCGGAGCUCCUCCGCUCUCUCUCAGGGUAUCCUCUGUCGCACCUAUCCCGGACUUUAA
rnacentral:rRNA from 1 species